UAUGUUGCUGAUGAUAUCUUGGCUCCCUCUGCUGAAAUGUAUGUGGAAGCUUGCCACUGUUACCCAGUUUAUGUCUGAAAUGUA